rnacentral:rRNA from 1 species
UAGGCGUAGGAUGCAAGCGUUUGUUGCGGAAUUACUGGGCGUAAAGAGUACGUAGGCGGUAAUGGUAAGUCUGAUAUUAAAGACUGGGCUUAACUCCAGGAAUGUAUCGGAACUGCCAAACUGAGAGGACAAUAGAGGAAGUCGGAAUUCUCAGUGUAGCGGUGAAAUGGCGUAGAUAUUAGGGAAGAACACCAGUGGCGAAAGCGGACU